ACCUUUUGGAAGAAGUCAUCGAAGGGUGAAUCAAUAACUGGGGUGAAGUCGUAACAAGGUAGCCGUAUCGGAAGGUGCGGCUGGAUCACCUCCUUUCUAAGGAGA
rnacentral:rRNA from 1 species